rnacentral:rRNA from 1 species
AUUGAACGCUGGCGGUAUGCUUAACACAUGCAAGUCGAACGAUGAGAAAGAGCUUGCUCUUUCGAUUAGUGGCGGACGGGUGCGUAACGCGUAGGAAUCUACCUAUUAGUGGGGGACAACUUAGGGAAACUUAAGCUAAUACCGUAUACGCCCUACGGGGGAAAGAAGGGGAUCGCAAGACCUUUUGCUAAUAGAUGAGCCUGCGUAGGAUUAGCUAGUUGGUGGGGUAAAAGCUCACCAAGGCGACGAUCCUUAACUGGUUUGAGAGAAUGAUCAGUCACACUGGAACUGAGACACGGUCCAGACUCCUACGGGAGGCAGCAGUGGGGAAUAUUGGACAAUGGGCGAAAGCCUGAUCCAGCAAUACCGCGUGUGUGAAGAAGGCCUUAGGGUUGUAAAGCACUUUCAAUUGGAAGGAAAACCUCGAAGCUAGUACCUUCGAGUUUGACAUUACCUUUAGAAGAAGCACCGGCUAACUCCGUGCCAGCAGCCGCAGUAA